AAUUAAAUACCACCCUGAACACGCCCAAUCUCGUCUGAUCUCGGAAGCUAAGCAGGGUCAGGCCUGGUUAGUACUUGGAUGGGAGAAAGAAAUUAAGAUAAAAACAUUU
rnacentral:rRNA from 1 species